UUAGUGGCGCACGGGUGAGUAACGCGUGGGAACCUGCCCAAGAGCGGGGAACAACCAUUGGAAACGAUGGCUAAUACCGCAUACGCCCUCCGGGGGAAAGGCUUCGGCCACUCAUGGAUGGUCCCGCGUCUGAUUAGCUUGUUGGUAAGGUAACGGCUUACCAAGGCGACGAUCAGUAGCUGGUCUGAGAGGACGAUCCGCCACAUUGGGACUGAGACACGGCCCAGACUCCUACGGGAGGCAGCAGUGGGGAAUAUUGGACAAUGGGCGAAAGCCUGAUCCAGCCAUACCGCGUGUGUGAAGAAGGCCCUAGGGUUGUAAAGCACUUUAAGUUGGGAAGAAAAGUUAUUGGUUAAUACCCAAUGACCGUGACAUUACCAUCAGAAUAAGGACCGGCUAAUUCCGUGCCAGCAGCCGCGGUAAUACGGAAGGUCCAAGCGUUAAUCGGAAUUACUGGGCGUAAAGCGCGCGUAGGUGGUUUAUUAAGUUGGGUGUGAAAUCCCCGGGCUCAACCUGGGAACUGCAUCCAAAACUGAUUCACUAGAGUACGAUAGAGGGAGGUAGAAUUCACAGUGUAGCGGUGGAAUGCGUAGAUAUUGUGAAGAAUACCAAUGGCGAAGGCAGCCUCCUGGAUCUGUACUGACACUGAGGUGCGAAAGCGUGGGUAGCGAACAGGAUUAGAUACCCUGGUAGUCCACGCU
rnacentral:rRNA from 1 species